GACGAACGCUGGCGGCGUGCUUAACACAUGCAAGUCGAACGGAAAGGCCCUUCUUUUGUGGGGUGCUCGAGUGGCGAACGGGUGAUUAACACGUGCGUAACCUGCCCUUGACUUUGGGAUAACUUCAGGAAACUUGGGCUAAUACCGGAUCGGAGCUCCUGCUGCAUGGUGGGGGUUGGAAUGUUUCGGCGGUUGGGGCUGGACUCGCGGCUUAUCAGCUUGUUGGUGGGGUAGUGGCUUACCAAGGCAUUGACGGGUAGCCGGCCUGAGAGGGUGAACGGCCACAUGGGGACUGAGAGACGGCCCAGACGCCUACGGGAGGCAGAAGUGGGGAAUAUUGCACAAUGGGCGGAAGCCUGAUGCAGCAACGCCGCGUGCGGGAUGACGGCCUUCGGGGUGUAAACCGCUUUCGCCUGUGACGAAGCGUGAGUGACGGUAAUGGGUAAAGAAGCACCGGCUAACUACGUG
rnacentral:rRNA from 1 species